GGGGACAGAGUGGGGUGGGCACGGGGGACAGCUGGGGGGACAAUGGGCAGGGUGGUGGGGACAGCGUGGGGACAACCGGACGGUGGCACCCGGACACGGGGCAACAACCGGGGGCCACCGUCCCCACGGCAACUGCACGCGGCCUUGGGGACAGGGCGGUGCCACCCCCGCGGGAGCUGGCAGCGUCCCCGGGGACGUGGGGACACCAAGGCCACGGUGCCACCACCCCCCCGGGCCCCGCUGGCGGUGCCAAGAGCCGCACAAAGGUCCCUUUGUCACCCUCUGCCACCCUUUGUCACCGCCCGCCGUGGGAACGGCCCGGGAGGGUGGCAGCGCGCCCGGCUGUCCCCGAGGCGGUGGCAGGGUGGUGGCAGGGGGGUGGCACGGUGGUGGCAUGGUGGUGGCAGGGUGACAGAGUGGUGGCAGGGUGGUGGCAGGGUGGUGACAGGGUGACAGAGUGGUGGCAUGGUGGUGACAGGGUGGCAGGGUGGUGGCAGGGUGGUGGCCGAUGUCACCGUACCACGAUGGCGUCGCUGGUACCAGUGACAGGGAGGUGACAGGGCAGUGACAGGGUGACAGGGUGGUGACAGUGACAGGGCAGUGACAGGGGAGGUGACAGCGCGGCGGCCCGUGUCACCGUACCACGAUGGCGUCGCUGGUACCAGUGACAGGGCAGGUGACAGGGGAGGUGACAGGAGAGGUGACAGCGCGGCGGCCCGUGUCACCGUACCACGAUGGCGUCGCUGGCGCCGGUGGCAGGGAGGUGACAGGGCGGUGACAGGGGAGGUGACAGGGGAGGUGACAGGGUGACAGGGUGGUGACAGGGGAGGUGACAGGGGAGGUGACAGCGCGGCGGCC
rnacentral:lncRNA from 1 species